GGGUUGUGAGGUUAAGCGACUAAGCGUACACGGUGGAUGCCCUGGCAGUCAGAGGCGAUGAAGGACGUGCUAAUCUGCGAUAAGCGUCGGUGAGGUGAUAUGAACCGUUAUAACCGGCGAUUUCCGAAUGGGGAAACCCAGUGUGAUUCGUCACACUAUCAUUAACUGAAUCCAUAGGUUAAUGAGGCGAACCGGGGGAACUGAAACAUCUAAGUACCCCGAGGAAAAGAAAUCAACCGAGAUUCCCCCAGUAGCGGCGAGCGAACGGGGAGCAGCCCAGAGCCUGAAUCAGUGUGUGUGUUAGUGGAAGCGUCUGGAAAGGCGCGCGAUACAGGGUGACAGCCCCGUACACAAAAAUGCACAUACUGUGAGCUCGAUGAGUAGGGCGGGACACGUGGUAUCCUGUCUGAAUAUGGGGGGACCAUCCUCCAAGGCUAAAUACUCCUGACUGACCGAUAGUGAACCAGUACCGUGAGGGAAAGGCGAAAAGAACCCCGGCGAGGGGAGUGAAAAAGAACCUGAAACCGUGUACGUACAAGCAGUGGGAGCCUCUUAAUGGGGUGACUGCGUACCUUUUGUAUAAUGGGUCAGCGACUUAUAUUCUGUAGCAAGGUUAACCGAAUAGGGGAGCCGAAGGGAAACCGAGUCUUAACUGGGCGUUAAGUUGCAGGGUAUAGACCCGAAACCCGGUGAUCUAGCCAUGGGCAGGUUGAAGGUUGGGUAACACUAACUGGAGGACCGAACCGACUAAUGUUGAAAAAUUAGCGGAUGACUUGUGGCUGGGGGUGAAAGGCCAAUCAAACCGGGAGAUAGCUGGUUCUCCCCGAAAGCUAUUUAGGUAGCGCCUCGUGAAUUCAUCUCCGGGGGUAGAGCACUGUUUCGGCAAGGGGGUCAUCCCGACUUACCAACCCGAUGCAAACUGCGAAUACCGGAGAAUGUUAUCACGGGAGACACACGGCGGGUGCUAACGUCCGUCGUGAAGAGGGAAACAACCCAGACCGCCAGCUAAGGUCCCAAAGUCAUGGUUAAGUGGGAAACGAUGUGGGAAGGCCCAGACAGCCAGGAUGUUGGCUUAGAAGCAGCCAUCAUUUAAAGAAAGCGUAAUAGCUCACUGGUCGAGUCGGCCUGCGCGGAAGAUGUAACGGGGCUAAACCAUGCACCGAAGCUGCGGCAGCGACGUUUAUGCGUUGUUGGGUAGGGGAGCGUUCUGUAAGCCUGCGAAGGUGUACUGUGAGGUAUGCUGGAGGUAUCAGAAGUGCGAAUGCUGACAUAAGUAACGAUAAAGCGGGUGAAAAGCCCGCUCGCCGGAAGACCAAGGGUUCCUGUCCAACGUUAAUCGGGGCAGGGUGAGUCGACCCCUAAGGCGAGGCCGAAAGGCGUAGUCGAUGGGAAACAGGUUAAUAUUCCUGUACUUGGUGUUACUGCGAAGGGGGGACGGAGAAGGCUAUGUUGGCCGGGCGACGGUUGUCCCGGUUUAAGCGUGUAGGCUGAUUUUCCAGGCAAAUCCGGAAAAUCAAGGCUGAGGCGUGAUGACGAGGCACUACGGUGCUGAAGCAACAAAUGCCCUGCUUCCAGGAAAAGCCUCUAAGCAUCAGGUAACAUCAAAUCGUACCCCAAACCGACACAGGUGGUCAGGUAGAGAAUACCAAGGCGCUUGAGAGAACUCGGGUGAAGGAACUAGGCAAAAUGGUGCCGUAACUUCGGGAGAAGGCACGCUGAUAUGUAGGUGAAGUCCCUCGCGGAUGGAGCUGAAAUCAGUCGAAGAUACCAGCUGGCUGCAACUGUUUAUUAAAAACACAGCACUGUGCAAACACGAAAGUGGACGUAUACGGUGUGACGCCUGCCCGGUGCCGGAAGGUUAAUUGAUGGGGUUAGCGGUAACGCGAAGCUCUUGAUCGAAGCCCCGGUAAACGGCGGCCGUAACUAUAACGGUCCUAAGGUAGCGAAAUUCCUUGUCGGGUAAGUUCCGACCUGCACGAAUGGCGUAAUGAUGGCCAGGCUGUCUCCACCCGAGACUCAGUGAAAUUGAACUCGCUGUGAAGAUGCAGUGUACCCGCGGCAAGACGGAAAGACCCCGUGAACCUUUACUAUAGCUUGACACUGAACAUUGAGCCUUGAUGUGUAGGAUAGGUGGGAGGCUUUGAAGUGUGGACGCCAGUCUGCAUGGAGCCGACCUUGAAAUACCACCCUUUAAUGUUUGAUGUUCUAACGUUGGCCCCUUACCGGGGUUGCGGACAGUGUCUGGUGGGUAGUUUGACUGGGGCGGUCUCCUCCUAAAGAGUAACGGAGGAGCACGAAGGUUGGCUAAUCCUGGUCGGACAUCAGGAGGUUAGUGCAAUGGCAUAAGCCAGCUUGACUGCGAGCGUGACGGCGCGAGCAGGUGCGAAAGCAGGUCAUAGUGAUCCGGUGGUUCUGAAUGGAAGGGCCAUCGCUCAACGGAUAAAAGGUACUCCGGGGAUAACAGGCUGAUACCGCCCAAGAGUUCAUAUCGACGGCGGUGUUUGGCACCUCGAUGUCGGCUCAUCACAUCCUGGGGCUGAAGUAGGUCCCAAGGGUAUGGCUGUUCGCCAUUUAAAGUGGUACGCGAGCUGGGUUUAGAACGUCGUGAGACAGUUCGGUCCCUAUCUGCCGUGGGCGCUGGAGAACUGAGGGGGGCUGCUCCUAGUACGAGAGGACCGGAGUGGACGCAUCACUGGUGUUCGGGUUGUCAUGCCAAUGGCACUGCCCGGUAGCUAAAUGCGGAAGAGAUAAGUGCUGAAAGCAUCUAAGCACGAAACUUGCCCCGAGAUGAGUUCUCCCUGACUCCUUGAGAGUCCUGAAGGAACGUUGAAGACGACGACGUUGAUAGGCCGGGUGUGUAAGCGCAGCGAUGCGUUGAGCUAACCGGUACUAAUGAACCGUGAGGCUUAACCUUACAACGCCGAAGGUGUUU
rnacentral:rRNA from 1 species